rnacentral:tRNA from 1 species
GGGCUUGUGAUGUAGCUUGGACAGCAUAGAGGCCUCCGGAGCCUCAUACCCGGGUUCAAAUCCCGGCGAGCCCG